rnacentral:rRNA from 1 species
CGCAUCUGUGCAUGCAGCAUAUCAAUAAGCGGAGGAAAGAAACUAACAAGGAUUCCCCUAGUAACGGCGAGUGAAGCGGGAAGAGCUCAAAUUUGAAAUCUUAAAGGGUUUCCCUUUACGAAUUGUAGUUUAAAGAAGUGUUUUCUGUUGAGGUUUUGGUAAAAGUUCUUUGGAAUAGGACAUCAUAGAGGGUGAGAAUCCCGUAUUUGACCUUUACUUUCAACUUUGUGAUACACUUUCAAAGAGUCGGAUUGUUUGGGAAUGCAGUCCAAAAUGGGUGGUAAAUUUCAUCUAAAGCUAAAUAUUGGCGAGAGACCGAUAGCGAACAAGUACCGUGAGGGAAAGAUGAAAAGAACUUUGAAAAGAGAGUUAAACAGUACGUGAAAUUGUCAAAAGGGAAGCGUUUGACACCAGUGUUGUUUUUCUGAAAAUCAAUUAAAGAACUGUUUAUGCUAAGCUGUUUAGACUUUAUCAGCUAGCUGUUUAGUUUUGAGCUUUUCUUUAAUGCACUUUUCAGCUAACAAGUCAACAUCAAUUUCUUUUGCUGUAAAAAAGCUUGAGGAAGGUGGCUUGAGAUUCGUCUUAAGUGUUUAUAGCCUCUUGCCUAUGCAGUCGGAGAGAUUGAGGUCUGCAGCGUAGAUCCUUCGGGGCUAAAUGCAUUUGUGCUAAGUUAUAGCAUUUUAUAGACAACUUGUUGACUAUGAUUUGUCUUGUAGCUUACUCGCUUAUGUUAUUUUACCUACGCUUAGGAUGUUGAGCGCAUGUCUCUCUCU